rnacentral:rRNA from 1 species
AUUGAACGCUGGCGGCAUGCCUUACACAUGCAAGUCGAACGGUAACGGGCCUUCGGGUGCCGACGAGUGGCGAACGGGUGAGUAAUGCAUCGGAACGUACCUUUCAGUGGGGGAUAACGUAGCGAAAGUUACGCUAAUACCGCAUAUUCUGUGAGCAGGAAAGCAGGGGAUCGCAAGACCUUGCGCUGAUUGAGCGGCCGAUGUCAGAUUAGCUAGUUGGUGAGGUAAAGGCUCACCAAGGCGACGAUCUGUAGCGGGUCUGAGAGGAUGAUCCGCCGCACUGGAACUGAGACACGGUCCAGACUCCUACGGGAGGCAGCAGUGGGGAAUUUUGGACAAUGGGCGGAAGCCUGAUCCAGCCAUGCCGCGUGAGUGAAGAAGGCC